CUCCCUACAACGCCUGUGCAUGCUCCUGAUGAGGUGGUGGAUGGUCUCCUGAGGGAUCUCCUCCCAGACCUGGACUAAAGCAUCUGCCAACUCCUGGACAGUCUGUGGUGCAACGUGACAUUGGUGGAUGGAGCAAGAUAUGAUGUCCCAUGAUGUGCUCAAUUGGAUUCAGGUCUGGGGAACGGGCAGGCCAGUCAAUAGCAUCAAUGCCUUUGUCUUGCAGGAACUGCUGACACACUCCAGCCACAUUAUGUCUAGCAUUGUCUUGCAUUAUAGAACAGAAGGAAGGGAUCAGCGCUCUCUAUCUAUACAAAAUACAACUGAAACAAUAAUAAAUAAGUAAAAAGUGGCAGCACACCUAAAAAGUAGGGCUCCC